UGCAAGAGGCAGGGAAGCAAUUGAGGCUCAUCAGUAUUUACCCCACAUGGCAAGUGUUUGCUUUGAAAACAUUUUUUAUUAUUGCUGUUUUUAAGGUGUCAAGGAGCAGAAGCUUUUGAAAUCCAGCAUUCUGGAUUGGCAAAUGGAAUCUUCAUGAAAUUUUUAAAAGACAGGUUAUUGGAAGACAAGAAAAUUACUGUGUUACUGGAUGAAGUUGCAGAAGCCACAUGCCACCUGUGCAGCGCUACUUGAACUACAAGGCUGCCCCAGACAUGAUGAGAAAUGAAUAAAAAUUGAUCCUCACA